GUGCAGCAGGCGAGAAACCUUUGCAAUGUGCGAAAGCACGACAAGGUUAAUCCGAGUGUCUCCUGCUAAAGGAGUCUUUUGCCGGUCAUAGAACCACCGGUGAAUAAGGGGUGGGCAAGUUCUGGUGUCAGCCGCCGCGGUAAAACCAGCACCUCGAGUGGUCAGGAGGUUUAUUGGGCCUAAAGCAUCCGUAGCCGGCUGCUCAAGUUUUCGGUUAAAUCUAUGCGCUCAACGUAUAGGCCGCCGAAAAUACUGGGCAGCUAGGGAGUGGGAGAGGUACACGGUACUCAAUAGGAAGGGGUAAAAUCCUUUGAUCUAUUGAUGACCACCUGUGGCGAAGGCGGUGUACCAGAACACGUUCGACGGUGAGGGAUGAAAGCUGGGGGAGCAAACCGGAUUAGAUACCCGCGUAGUCC
rnacentral:rRNA from 1 species